ACAAAGGUAACUUUACUUGUGCAGACAGAAGAGCAGUUAUCCCAAACGGUACAUCGAAAACAGAACUUAGCUUCCGCUUCGUCGUGCUUCUGUCCGUCCACAACCAUGGCUGACGUCAACCGCUCCAACAAACCUGAGUGGCUUCAACAGUACGAUCUCAUCGGUAAGAUCGGUGAAGGAACCUACGGUCUCGUUUUCCUUGCUCGGAUCAAAUCCGCCACAAACCGCGGCAAAUCCAUCGCCAUCAAGAAAUUCAAACAAUCUAAAGACGGCGAUGGCGUUUCCCCCACCGCCAUCCGUGAAAUCAUGUUGCUGAGAGAGAUAACUCAUGAAAAUGUUGUGAAGCUUGUGAAUGUUCACAUCAAUCAUGCGGACAUGUCUCUGUAUUUGGCCUUUGAUUAUGCUGAACAUGACCUUUAUGAAAUAAUAAGACAUCAUAGAGACAAGGUCAACCAAUCAAUUAAUCAGUACACUGUUAAGUCGAUACUGUGGCAGUUGCUCAAUGGGCUGAACUAUCUGCACAGCAAUUGGAUAAUACAUCGAGAUUUGAAGCCAUCGAAUAUAUUGGUUAUGGGCGAUGGGGAGGAACACGGGGUUGUUAAAGUUGCUGACUUUGGGCUUGCAAGGAUAUAUCAAGCCCCUCUGAAGCCAUUAUCUGAAAAUGGGGUUGUUGUAACCAUUUGGUAUCGUGCUCCUGAGUUGCUUCUUGGAGCAAAACAUUAUACCAGUGCUGUUGAUAUGUGGGCUGUGGGAUGCAUUUUUGCUGAGUUGUUGACCUUGAAGCCACUAUUUCAAGGUGCAGAAGUCAAAGCUACACCAAAUCCUUUUCAGCUUGAUCAGCUUGACAAGAUAUUCAAGGUUUUAGGCCAUCCCACAUUAGAAAAGUGGCCUUCCUUAGCACAUCUUCACCAUUGGCAACAUGAUACGCAACAAAUACAAGGACACAAAUAUGACAAUGCCAAUCUCUAUAGUGUUGUACACCUAUCUCCAAAAAGUCCUGCAUAUGACCUAUUGUCAAAGAUGCUUGAAUAUGAUCCUCGAAGGCGUAUAACAGCAGCACAGGCUAUGGAGCAUGAGUAUUUCAAAAUGGAACCACAGCCUGGGCGGAAUGCACUUGUACCAUGCCAACCUGGAGAGGCUUUUGUGAAUUAUCCCACACGUCCAGUGGACACAACUACAGAUUUUGAAGGGACAACCAACAUGCAGCAAUCACAACCGGUUUCUUCUGGAGCUGCUAUUGCUGGAAACAUGCCUGGUGGUCAUGUAUCAAAUAGAUCUGUCCCUCGACCAAUGAAUGUUGGCAUGCAAAGAAUGCAUCAGCUGCAAGCAUAUAAUCUCACAUCGCAGGCAGGGAUGGGUAGUGGAAUUAAUCCUGCUGGCAUCCCAAUGCAACGAGGUGUUCCACAACAGGCCCAUCAACAGCAACAGGUUUAUUGUUUAUUGGGAAAAGAAGUAAAGUGUUACCUUUUUGUCCUUUUUUAUGGUGAAUUUGACGUGUUAUUGUUGUUUCCUUUUUGACAGUUGAGGAGGAAAGACCAAAUGGGAAUGCCAGGAUACCCUCCACAGCAGAAAUCAAGACGUAUGUAAGGUUGUGGUGGAUGAGAUCAAGUGAAGAUAGAAUUGGAGUCAACAGUUGGAAACCUGAGCUCAUUCAUGACAAUUCAUAGCCCCCUAUUUGAAUGAUUUGCCUUCAUUUUUGUGGACAAUGACAUCACUUUUUGCAAUCGCUACCAAAAUUUGUUGCAUUGGGCACAUGAAGCUGGAUGCUACAAUAUGAAUAUUCUGCUGGAACACCACUGAGCUUUUGAAGGGGAAUAAACAGGGGAAAUGGUUGCGCUACUGGUGGCACAUGUAUAUUAUACUUAUACUUAUAUCUGUACAAUUUUCCUGUACUGUUAUGCAGGGUGAAAUGUUAGGCAUCAUAGGUUUUCACCAAAAUUGAACCAACUGAUAAUGUGUAACUUUGUUGUACUUGCUGUAUAAUAUUACCUCAGCCAAUUAAAGGAAAUUAUAGGCUACUUUGCCCUGAGUAAAUUAUUUUUUCUAUUUUGA